rnacentral:rRNA from 1 species
UACCAGCUGGCUGCAACUGUUUAUUAAAAACACAGCACUGUGCAAACACGAAAGUGGACGUAUACGGUGUGACGCCUGCCCGGUGCCGGAAGGUUAAUUGAUGGGGUCAGCGCAAGCGAAGCUCCUGAUCGAAGCCCCGGUAAACGGCGGCCGUAACUAUAACGGUCCUAAGGUAGCGAAAUUCCUUGUCGGGUAAGUUCCGACCUGCACGAAUGGCGUAAUGAUGGCCAGGCUGUCUCCACCCGAGACUCAGUGAAAUUGAACUCGCUGUGAAGAUGCAGUGUACCCGCGGCAAGACGGAAAGACCCCGUGAACCUUUACUAUAGCUUGACACUGAACAUUGAGCCUUGAUGUGUAGGAUAGGUGGGAGGCUUUGAAGCGUGGACGCCAGUCUGCGUGGAGCCGACCUUGAAAUACCACCCUUUAAUGUUUGAUGUUCUAACGUGGACCCGUGAUCCGGGUUGCGGACAGUGUCUGGUGGGUAGUUUGACUGGGGCGGUCUCCUCCUAAAGAGUAACGGAGGAGCACGAAGGUUGGCUAAUCCUGGUCGGACAUCAGGAGGUUAGUGCAAUGGCAUAAGCCAGCUUGACUGCGAGCGUGACGGCGCGAGCAGGUGCGAAAGCAGGUCAUAGUGAUCCGGUGGUUCUGAAUGGAAGGGCCAUCGCUCAACGGAUAAAAGGUACUCCGGGGAUAACAGGCUGAUACCGCCCAAGAGUUCAUAUCGACGGCGGUGUUUGGCACCUCGAUGUCGGCUCAUCACAUCCUGGGGCUGAAGUAGGUCCCAAGGGUAUGGCUGUUCGCCAUUUAAAGUGGUACGCGAGCUGGGUUUAGAACGUCGUGAGACAGUUCGGUCCCUAUCUGCCGUGGGCGCUGGAGAACUGAGGGGGGCUGCUCCUAGUACGAGAGGACCGGAGUGGACGCAUCACUGGUGUUCGGGUUGUCAUGCCAAUGGCACUGCCCGGUAGCUAAAUGCGGAAGAGAUAAGUGCUGAAAGCAUCUAAGCACGAAACUUGCCCCGAGAUGAGUUCUCCCUGAGACUUUAGGUCUCCUGAAGGAACGUUGAAGACGACGACGUUGAUAGGCCGGGUGUGUAAGCGCAGCGAUGCGUUGAGCUAACCGGUACUAAUGAACCGUGAGGCUUAACCUUACAAC